UACGUAGGGUGCAAGCGUUAAUCGGAAUUACUGGGCGUAAAGCGUGCGCAGGCGGUUUUGUAAGUCUGUCGUGAAAGCCCCGGGCUCCAACCUGGGAAUGGCAUUGGAAACUGGCGAGCUAGAGUGUGGCAGAGGGGGGGUGGAAUUCCGCGUGUAGCAGUGAAAUGCGUAGAGAUGCGGAGGAACACCGAUGGCGAAGGCAGCCCCCCUGGGCUGACACUGACGCUCAGGCACGAAAGCGUGGGGAGCAAACAGG
rnacentral:rRNA from 1 species